GAUGAACGCUGGCGGCGUGCCUAAUACAUGCAAGUCGAGCGAACGGACGAGAAGCUUGCUUCUCUGAUGUUAGCGGCGGACGGGUGAGUAACACGUGGAUAACCUACCUAUAAGACUGGGAUAACUUCGGGAAACCGUAGCUAAUACCGGAUAAUAUUUUGAACCGCAUGGUUCAAAAGUGAAAGACGGUCUUGCUGUCACUUAUAGAUGGAUCCGCGCUGCAUUAGCUAGUUGGUAAGGUAACGGCUUACCAAGGCAACGAUGCAUAGCCGACCUGUGAGGGUGAUCGGCCACCCUGGAGCUGGGACACGGUCCAGACUCCUGCGGGAGGCCGCAGUAGGGAAUCUUCCGCAAUGGGCGAAAGCCUGACGGAGCAACGCCGCGUGAGUGAUGAAGGUCUUCGGAUCGUAAAACUCUGUUAUUAGGGAAGAACAUAUGUGUAAGUAACUGUGCACAUCUUGACGGUACCUAAUCAGAAAGCCCCGGCUAACUACGUG
rnacentral:rRNA from 1 species